rnacentral:lncRNA from 1 species
CUGUAGACAUAUGGUGGUGGAGGAGAUUUGUAGUCAACCUUAGGGGAAGGUGAGUAGUAUGGUGGUGGAGGAGAUUUGUAGUCAACCUUAGGGGAAGGUGAGUAGUAUGGUGGUGGUGGUGAACUAUAGACGUAUGGUGGUGGUGGAGAUUUGUAAUCUACCUUAGGGGCAGGUGAGUAGUAUGGUGGUGGGGGUGAGCUGUAGACAUACGGUGGUGGGGGAGAUUUGUAGUCUACCUUCGGGGAAGGUGAGUAGUAUGGUGGUGGUGGUGAGCUAUAGACGUACGGUGGUGGAGGAGAUUUGUAGUCUACUUUAGGGGAAGGUGAGUAGUAUGGUGGUGGUGGUGAGCUGUAGACGUACGGUGGUGGGGGAGAUUUGUAGUCUACCUUAGGGGAAGGUGAGUAGUAUGGUGGUGGUGGUGAGCUGUAGACGUACGGUGGUGGGGGAGACUUGUAAACUACUUUAGGAGAAGGAGAGUAGUAUGGUGGUGGUGGUGAGCUGUAGACGUACGGUGGUGGGGGAGACUUGUAGACUACCUUAGGAGAAGGAGAGUAGUAUGGUGGUGGUGGAGAACUGUAGACAUACGGUGGUGGAGGAGACUUGUAGACUACCUUAGGAGAAGGAGAAUAAUAUGGUGGUGGUGGAGAACUGUAAACGUAUGGUGGUGGGGGAGACUUGUAGACUACCUUAGGAGAAGGAGAGUAGUAUGGUGGUGGUGGAGAACUGUAGACAUACGGUGGUGGGGGAGACUUGUAGACUACCUUAGGAGAAGGAGAAUAGUAUGGAGGUGGUGGAGAACUGUAAACAUACGGUGGUGGGGGAGACUUGUAGACUACCUUAGGAGAAGGAGAGUAGUAUGGUGGUGGUGGAGAACUAUAGACAUACGGUGGUGGGGGAGACUUGUAGUGUACCUUAGGGGAAGGAGAGUAAUAUGGUGGUGGUGGAGAACUGUAGACAUACGGUGGUGGGGGAGACUUGUAGUGUACCUUAGGAGAAGGAGAGUGAUAUGGUG